CCUACGGGAGGCAGCAGUGGGGAAUAUUGCACAAUGGGGGAAACCCUGAUGCAGCAACGCCGCGUGAGUGAAGAAGUCAUUCGUGAUGUAAAGCUCUAUCAGCAGGGAAGAAAAUGACGGUACCUGACGAAGAAGCCCCGGCUAACGACGUGCCAGCAGCCGCGGUAAUACGUAGGGGGCAAGCUUUAUCCGGAUUUACUGGGUGUAAAGGGAGCGUAGACGGCGAGGCAAGUCUGAAGUGAAAUGCCAGUGCUCAACACUGGAACUGCUUUUGAAACGGUGUGGCUAGAGUGCAGGUGAGGUAAGUGGCAUUCCUGGUGUAGCGGUGAACUGCGUAGAUCUUAGGAGGAACACC
rnacentral:rRNA from 1 species